GAUGAACGCUAGCUACAGGCUUAACACAUGCAAGUCGAGGGGAAACGAUAUUGGAAGCUUGCUUCCGAUAGGCGUCGACCGGCGCACGGGUGAGUAACGCGUAUCCAACCUGCCCAUCACUUGGGGAUAACCUUGCGAAAGUAAGACUAAUACCCAAUGAUAUCCCUAGAAGACAUCUGAAAGGGAUUAAAGAUUUAUCGGUGAUGGAUGGGGAGACGUCUGAUUAGCUUGUUGGCGGGGUAACGGCCCACCAAGGCGACGAUCAGUAGGGGGUCUGAGAGGAAGGUCCACCACAUUGGAACUGAGACACGGUCCAAACUCCGACGGGAGUCAGCAGUGAGGAAUAUUGGUCAAUGGACGAGAGUCUGAACCAGCCAAGUAGCGUGCAGGAUGACGGCCCUAUGGGUUGUAAACUGCUUUUAUAAGGGAAUAAAGUGAGCCUCGUGAGGCUUUUUGCAUGUACCUUAUGAAUAAGGACCGGCUAAUUCCGUGCCAGCCGCCGCAGUAA
rnacentral:rRNA from 1 species